UACGAAGGGGGGCUAGCGUUGCUCGGAAUCACUGGGCGUAAAAGCGCACGUAGGCGGCUUUCUAAGUCAGGGGUGAAAUCCUGGAGCUCAACUCCAGAACUGCCUUUGAUACUGAGGAUCUUGAGUAUGGGAGAGGUGAGUGGAACUGCGAGUGUAGAGGUGAAAAUUCGUAGAUAUUCGCAAGAACACCGGUGGCGAAGGCGGCCUGCUGGGCAGUAGCUGACGCUGAGGCGCGACAGCGUGGGGGAGCAAACAGG
rnacentral:rRNA from 1 species